UUUAUGGAGAGUUUGAUCCUGGCUCAGGAUGAACGCUGGCGGCGUGCCUAAUACAUGCAAGUCGAGCGAACGGACGAGAAGCUUGCUUCUCUGAUGUUAGCGGCGGACGGGUGAGUAACACGUGGAUAAACUACCUAUAAGACUGGGAUAACUUCGGGAAACCGGAGCUAAUACCGGAUAAUAUUUUGAACCGCAUGGUUCAAAAGUGAAAGACGGUCUUGCUGUCACUUAUAGAUGGAUCCGCGCUGCAUUAGCUAGUUGGUAAGGUAACGGCUUACCAAGGCAACGAUGCAUAGCCGACCUGAGAGGGUGAUCGGCCACACUGGAACUGAGACACGGUCCAGACUCCUACGGGAGGCAGCAGUAGGGAAUCUUCCGCAAUGGGCGAAAGCCUGACGGAGCAACGCCGCGUGAGUGAUGAAGGUCUUCGGAUCGUAAAACUCUGUUAUUAGGGAAGAACAUAUGUGUAAGUAACUGUGCACAUCUUGACGGUACCUAAUCAGAAAGCCACGGCUAACUACGUGCCAGCAGCCGCGGUAAUACGUAGGUGGCAAGCGUUAUCCGGAAUUAUUGGGCGUAAAGCGCGCGUAGGCGGUUUUUUAAGUCUGAUG
rnacentral:rRNA from 1 species